AUUGAACGCUGGCGGCAGGCCUAAUACAUGCAAGUCGAGCGGACGAAGGAGGAUCUUGCUCGUCUGACGUGAGGGGCGGACGGGUAAGUAACACGAGGAUACCCUACCUAGGGGACUAGGAUCGGUAAGGGGAACCGAAGCUAAUACCGGAUCAUAUGUUGAACCGGGGGGUUCUAUGGUCCCAGACGGUUUUGCUGUCCCUGGUAGGUAGAUCCGGGUCGGAUUAGCUAGUUGGUACGGUAACGGCCUACCAAGGCGACGAUGCGUAGCGGACCUGAGAGGGUGAUCAGUCACACUGGAACUGAGACACGGUCCAGACUCCUACGGGAGGCAGCAGUAGGGAAUAUUGGGCAAUGGGCGAAAGCCUGAUGCAGCAAUGCCGCGUGUGUGAAGAAGGUCUUCGGAUUGUAAAGCACUUUUAGUUGGGAGGAAGAACAGUGAGUUAAUACCUUGCUGUUUUGACGUUACCAACAGAAUAAGCACCGGCUAACUUCGUG
rnacentral:rRNA from 1 species